rnacentral:rRNA from 1 species
AGCGAACGUUUGCGGCGGGCCUAACACAUGCAAGUCGAACGCACUAGCAAUAGUGAGUGGCGCACGGGUGCGUAACACGUGGGUAAUCAACCCUUCAGCUUGGGAUAACGACUUGAAAGGGUCGCUAAUACCGGAUACGGCGCGGGAGGCUUCGGCUUCUCACGAGAAAGCCUCGCAAGGGGCACUGAAGGACGAGCCUGCGGCCCAUCAGCUAGUUGGUGAGGUAAGAGCUCACCAAGGCGAAGACGGGUAGCUGGUCUGAGAGGAUGAUCAGCCACACUGGAACUGAGACACGGUCCAGACUCCUACGGGAGGCAGCAGUGGGGAAUAUUGCGCAAUGGGCGAAAGCCUGACGCAGCCACGCCGCGUGAGCGAUGAAGGCCUCGGGUCGUAAGCUCUGUGGGGAGGAGACGAAGAAAGACCCGUGAAGAG